GCAGCAGCCGCGGGAAUACAGAGGGUGCGAGCGUUAAUCGGAUUUACUGGGCGUAAAGCGUGCGUAGGCGGCUUCUUAAGUCGGAUGUGAAAUCCCUGAGCUUAACUUAGGAAUUGCAUUCGAUACUGGGAAGCUAGAGUAUGGGAGAGGAUGGUAGAAUUCCAGGUGUAGCGGUGAAAUGCGUAGAGAUCUGGAGGAAUACCGAUGGCGAAGGCAGCCAUCUGGCCUAAUACUGACGCUGAGGUACGAAAGCAUGGGGAGCAAACAGGAUUAGAUACCCGAGUAGUCCCUGUCUCUUAUAC
rnacentral:rRNA from 1 species